rnacentral:rRNA from 1 species
CCCUUAGAUGUUCUGGGCCGCACGCGCGCUACAAUGAUGAAUUCAACGAGUUUAUAACCUUGGUUGAAAAGCCUGGGUAAUCUUUUGAACUUUCGUCGUGGUGGGGCUAGACCCUUGCAAUUAUUGGUCUCCAACGAGGAAUUCCUAGUAAACGCAAGUCAUCAGCUUGCAUUGAUUACGUCCCUGCCCUUUGUACACACCGCCCGUCGCACCUACCGAUUGAAUGGUCCGGUGAAAUCUUCGGAUUGAGACUUUGAUUUCUUCACGGAAAACGCUGUUUUAAAAAGUUGAUUAAACCUUACCAUUUAGAGGAAGGUGAAGUCGUAACA